rnacentral:lncRNA from 1 species
GUAUUUGGAAGCCCCGGGCAAGAGCUUCUGCAGGAGACGGUUACAAAUUAGUCCUCUUACUCUUGUAAGCUGAGUGGUUGGCACCUGGUCCAGAACACGGCCUUCAGCAUUAGAGAACAUUCCCAAGCCACAAAGAAUGAUCUGCACGUUGCCUUUCUUAUGAAAUGAAAAAAGGGUCUCCAAAAGAAAUAAAACACAGAUUAUUGAACAUGGCUGGAGGCGCCUGGAAAAGAUGAGACCAGAGGACAAAAUUCUGAACAUGGAAUUUUAGGAAGAGAGAAAUGGCUGCACAGAGUACGAUGGACUGAAAAAGGAUGGGAUGCUGGGGAUUUGGAUGCAGACAUAGACAAGAACUGUCCAGAAUUCCUGAGGAUGGAGAGGAGAACCAUGAGACCAGAGAAUCAGAUGAUGUGACAUCAAAUUCAUGAUGCAAUUCAAAACACAGCUGUGGGGCAGGAAUCUGGAACCAACCGAAAUGGGGACUCAGAGAAAAAGAAAGAGGAAUCUACCCACUUUUCAGUCAACUUACCCAAUGGGAGAAGACACACCUUCCCAUGUGGAUCUUGUAGAAGCUUCUGGAGGGGUCAGUCCCAGGAGGUGGGAGAGUUGACACCAUGAUCCAGGGCUCCUUUGAGAUAUUUUUUUGUUUGCUUGUUUGUUUUUGCUUCUCUCAGAUUCCUGAAAAGUCUUAGUUUCCCAUCUUUGUCAGUUGGAUACCUGGUACCUUUGGUCUUUAAGGACCCAGAUGUCCUCUCCUUUUUACAGAUGGAGAGAUGAAGGCUAGUUUAGACAACGCAUACAGGACUGGCAAAACCAUAUUAGACUUUUGGUAUGGUUAAUUGUUCCCAUGAAAGUCUUACAUUUUGCAUUGUUUUCAAGUCACUGCCAAGACUGAGGAAAAUGACAAGGAUGGUUUUGUAAGUGUAAUGAAAAUAUGCGUGGAGAACAUCACAGACAGAUUGUCCUGUGUAGUGUUUAGGUAGGGCCCAAGGUCCAAUUUGGGGAGCUUCCAUGAGGACGUGGGGAAAAACAUGUCAACCCUGACAGAAGCAGUUGCUGACUGAGCAAAAAUGUUCUCCUCUCUACUCCCUAAAGCUUCCUAACUCUCAUCGGUCUGCUUUUAACCAGAGCCUUGGGGCACCCCACCUGAAGACUCACAUUUUCUCUGGUCCCCGGGGAAGACACCAGUUUGCUCAGUGACAGUGUGCCAAACAGGGGAAAAAAAAAAAAGAAAAAAAAAAAAAGAAGAAGAAGAGCUUCAGCAACUGCGAACCAGGAAAUUUUUUGUUUGUUUGUUUGUUUUAAAACAAGAUUUGCCAAUCUCGCCAAGAAAUUUUGUCUAAGUUACAGCCUGGCAGCCUUUCUAAUCGCUCAUCGUUCUUUUUCUGAAUCCUGCAUUUUCAUGGAGGGGAGAUAAUCUUUGGCAUUAUCCUCAUUGGCUUGGCUUAGCUCUCAGUCCCUUGGGGUCCUGUUGCCUCUAGAAACUUUCAACUUCUAAAUCCAGUGCUGGCUCACCCAGGAAAGGAACAGGCAAAUUGAACAAUAAAAUUCAAGCCGUAGCUUCCGUUGUGACUCAAGAGCAGAAAAUGUUUUUAAUGUCCAAGAGCACAUAAGUGGCAUUAAUCAUCAAGAAUUUAUUAUUUCUCAUUGGGGGCCCCAAAGAAACACCAUUUUGCCCAACUCCAUUAUUAUCUGGGAUUUGAAAAGCUUUUCAAAACUAGUUGCCUGAUUGGAUAUUUACCUAAGGUUGAGCGUUUCAGAAGUUCUUUCAUAGAAAUUAUAUAUGCCCCAAAAGAGAAAAUAGUGUUUUUUUCUUCCUUUCUUUUCUUUUUCAUUUCUCCCUUGUGUUUCUCUUCCUUUCUUUAGUGACCCUUGCUGUGUCAGCCUUUCUAUGCAUGAUCAGUUUGCUGUGAUCUAUGGAGAACUCCCACCUCAGGAAUUUGAAGCCCGUGGUAAGUCUUUUUGUUUUUUGAGUCUAGGCUAUAGAUUACUUUUGUUUUGAGAAAACCUUAGGGGCUUGUAAUAUAGUCACAAUUUUUUAUUCUUUGAACUGCAUAAAUAAAUUAGACCACUUUGUGGUGGAAAGAUUUUUGCAAGCAUAAGCUCAGGAUACUUUUCUAUUGUAUCUCUGAAAUAUUAAGUAUUUUUGGGUGUUCACACAAAAGUUGAUAGGAUCGAUCCUUCCUUCCUUCCUUCCUUCCUUCCUUCCUUCCUUCUUUCUUCCUCUUCUUUUUUCUUUCUUUUUUUUUCUUUCUUUCUUUCUUUCUUUCUUUCUUUCUUUUUCUUUCUUUCUUUCUUUCUUUCUUUCUUUCUUUCUUUCUUUCUUUCUUUCUUUCCUUUUUCUUCUGACCUUCCUAGUGCAGUAAAUAAACAUUGAAAGAAUGUUAUAAAUUCAUCUGUUGGUAAUCCUUAAACUGCAUUAGAAUAAUUGAUUUGGGGAACCUAGAUAAAUAUUUAUCAUAACAAACCCACGUUUCUCAUUUCAUGUGGAAGGGAGCUGCAUUUUCCUUCAUGCACAGGGAUCAUAUGAAAAGCUUAUGUUAGAAGAUAGAAGCUUCAAAUCCAUUCUCUGGUCUUGGGGGACAUAACUUCUUGAGAUAGCUAGACUACA